GCAUUUAUUCUACAUUUGUUCUGUAUUUACAGAUUUCUUCAUGAUUAUCAGUUCUGAGCUUUUGAUAUUGGUUCUGGUUGGUUUGUCAUUGUUAUUAUUACUUGCUAUCCGAAAGAAAAGACAGAGUCAUGGGUUUAAGCUGAAGUCUGGAAAGUGGUAUGAGGUCUCUUCUGAUCCUGAGCACACAUACACAAGAACAACUGCAGUCUACACUGCUGUCCACUAACCCAGAAACACAUCUGACUAGUCAAACGCUUUUAAUUCACAUAAAAACUGCAGGUUUCAUUUACUGUAAGUUGUGUACAAAUGUCCAUGAAAUUCACAACAGCCAAGUGUGCACAUAAGUUUGUUCUUUCCUCUGGUUCUAAUGUUGACGCAUCUGGAUUUUAUAAAUAUAAUGUUUCACAUGUUUGACAAGUGUGC